AUGAUUAAGAGUCUAUAUAUUUGCCUCACUUCCUCUCUCCUCUCUCUCUUUGCCAGCGGAGGAGUUGAGCUUGGGGUCUCUCUCUCAAUGAUGUUGGGUGUGACUAGAGGUGUGGUUCAUGGCAGCGUUUUGACAUCUUGGCGUGGGUCAGAAAUUAAGGCCUAUAAAGGUAAUGUCUCUCUCAGAGGAAGAAAAAAAAUUAAGAAGCUGAUGAAUGAAUUCCUGAAUGUCAGGCACCUGUCAUCUGGAUUUUCUGCAAGUUUCAAGUUUGCCCCCUGAGAACUCACCCUGAAGAAGUUCCAGACACACCUGUUCUGGAAUGAACAAAAGACCUUGAAGUGUUUGGUGACCCCAGUUUGAGUGGGACUGCAAGGCAGAGUCAAGGUUGAGGACCUUAUUUCUCUUAGUAGCUUCUCCCUGGUAUUAGAGUCCUCUCUCAGGAAGCCCAGCUCUUGGUUUGACCUUUUCCUUUUAUAUUCAUUAUAACUGACCAUUCCCUGAUGCCCCAGCUGCUGGCUGCAGCCUGUCUAUGCAUGUCAGCUGUACAAGUUCUCCAGAGAGCAUAAAAGACCCCCAAGUUCUGUCACUCUUUGAAGAAUCAUCUAGCACAGUGCAUUCUCCCAGAGAUACAGUUUCCAGAGUCCCAGAGCCCUUGGCUUUGUGUGGUUUUUAGGCAACUGACUCUUCAUGGAGGCCAAAACAGAACACUUACCUGAUUAAAGACUUGGUUUUUACUGACUGCUUUGUUGUUCUGUGUUAUUUCCAAGUUAACACACCCAAUACCAUGUUCUACCUAUGGUAGGAGCUAAUUGACUGAAAGAGAUGAAGGCUAGGGAGGGCUAAUCAGUUUCAGGAUGACACAGGCAGGAAAAAUAAGCAGAUAGUUAGGUGGUACGGUGGGUUAAAGUGCUGGGCUUGGAAGAAGAGAAUGAGAUCCAAUCAGGCUCAGACACCAGUUGUGGAAACCUGCGUAAUCACCACUCAGGGCCUUAGGUUCCACAUCUGGAAAAUGGGGAUUAUAAAUCACAUGCCUUCCAGGGUGAGUAGAAGAAUCUCUAAAAUAACAUAUGCAAAGUGUUUUGCAACCUCAAAUGCUAGCUAGCUCCUCUCUAAAAGCUAGCUAUUAUUAGUGUGAAACACUGGAUAUUUCAGGGGGACACCAGAAGGAAUCAGUAUUUUCAACAAACACUCCAUAGGAUCUGUUGUGGAAUUUUGCCUUGGACUGACUGACUGACUGACUGACUGACUCCUGGAGGUGACCUGCUCGAGGUCCUCAGGACAACUCAAAUUCCCCGGCAGAUUAAUAUUCAGCAGCGUUGGCAUCCUUAGGCACAGAUGACAGAGAGGAGGUGGUUUUCCCUCCCACUCAUUCUACCCAGUUUUAUCUUGAUUGCAAGUACUCAGAAUCACAGGGUAACUCUUCCAGGAAAGUAGAUGCUAACCCUGCUGGCCUGGCUGGUUGCCAAAGAGGGUAAUUAAAUUCUGCCUACCUGACAUGCUCCUACCAUUUUUUUUGUCUCUUUUGCAGAGUGCUCUGUGCUGGCUGAAGGAGCCGGCCUAGUUGCCAUGUGCUCAGUUAAAGAGCUGCUCCAUGCUACCCCAGAGGCAAGUGCAUUUCAAGGGGUGCCUGAAUUAUUCCCAUAUAAACUGCUUAAUAUACGUGUUAGUCCAAGAAAUAUGGGUUAAACACAUCCCCUUAUUUCAUCCAGUGGGGAUUCAACAUAUCACUAAGAGGUAGGAAAAGCUUUUUCCAUCCCCUCCUGUAUCUUUGCACCAAACUUAUCUUAUAAAUAAUACCAAACUGUGAAGAAGGCCCAGCUCAACAAUGCAUAGCCUCACUGAACUUUUAAAAUAAAAAUAAACAUAUUUGAAAGGCA
ensembl:lncRNA